GCACAAACAAAUAAAACAGCUCACAAUAUACGUAUAAUCAUAGUUAAACUGCGAAUUCUUAUACAAAUUCACAUUUUUAUGAACGCGAUAAGGAGGAUAGAACUUAGAUGAAGAGUGUGCCGAGCGUUUUACUUGAAUAUUUUGCAACUAUGAUUUUACAUAUUAUGUAUAUCCUAUAUAUUUCUGAACAUUUGAAUUUCCCAUAAAUCCGUAAACGUAUAAGUGCGAUUCUUCUUCUUGACUUGUAGCGUUUGAAAUAUCUGUUUACGGAUCGUUCGUUAUUGGAAUCAUUAGAUUCUUAACGAGCGGCGUUUUGAACUCACGCGCGAGUACACAUACGUUUCGCAUUCAAUUGGCGCUGCUUCUUCUUCUAUCGCAAUUAGCGUGAGGAGAGAGAAAAAAAGUCGAGCGCUACUCGAGAUACGUGAACGUUGAGAUAGCGUUGAAAAAAAAAAAAAAAAUGAGAGGAGAGUCGAUAGAGCAGCUUUUUGAUGCAGGUGCUCCACUGUUAAUCAUUCAUCUUUGUGGAUGAUCACUCGAACGUGUUUAGUCAGUUGGAAUCCUGCCAAAUACAAAAUCGAAGCUGGUCUUGCGUGUGCUGAUCCUGCCAGAAGUCAAAUUUGACGGGACAAUAAAUUCAAGUGAAGAAUUAAGAGCAACCGGACUGAGGGACUAAAAAAGGAUGGAUGAAAUAAAAUCGCGCGACUUUUUCAUCGCGAUGACCUAAAUGGCCACGGAUAGGACUAAAUGUUUCUCGCGAUAAUAAAAUGUCGUUUCUACUAUGAUUUUUAUCCUUUCAUAAAUAUUAUAUAACGAUAGUAACGCUUACACAAAAUAGAAUUGAAUUUUCCAUUGUAUCAAAUGCAUGUUAUUUUUUUUACGCUUGUAAUUAUAAUCAUGGAAAAUAAACUAUUAUAAUACACGUCAAAUUAUUGAAUAUUCAAGGCUUCCGUUUGUUAAAUAUUGUAAUUCAAAUGAAAUAUAUUAAGCAAUUCUUUUACAUAUAAAACUUAAUGAACUAAAAUGAA